rnacentral:rRNA from 1 species
CAGCAGCCGCGGUAAGACGGAGGAUGCAAGCGUUAUUCGGAAUUAUUGGGCGUAAAGCGUCUGUAGGUGGUUGUGAAAGUGUAGCGUUAAAGGUCAAGGCUUAACCUUGAAAAAGCGUUGCAAACUAUAUGACUUGAGUUCGGUAGGGGCAGAGAGAAUUCCCAGUGUAGCGGUGAAAUGCGUAGAUAUUGGGAGGAAGACCUGUGGCGAAAGCGUUCUGCUGGGCCGUAACUGACAUUGAGAGACGAAAGCUAAGGGAGCAAAUAGGAUUAGAUACCCUAGUAGUCUUAGCUGUAAACGAUGCGCACUAUGUUUUGUAUUGCAGAACAAAAGCUAACGCGUUAAGUGCGCCGCCUGGGGAGUACACUCGCAAGGGUGAAACUCAAAGGAAUUGACGGGGACCCGCACAAGCGGUGGAGCAUGUGGUUUAAUUCGAUGCAACGCGAAGAACCUUACCAAGACUUGACAUGCUGCGAACGCUUAUGAAAAUAAGAAGUCUAUUAACUUUAAGUUAAUAGCGCAGACACAGGUGGUGCAUGGUUGUCGUCAGCUCGUGCCGUGAGGUGUUGGGUUAAGUCCCGCAACGAGCGCAACCCUUAUCUUUAGUUAUAAUUAUUUUCUAGAGAGACUGCCGGUGAUAAAUCGGAGGAAGGUGAGGAUGACGUCAAAUCAGCAUGCCCCUUAUGUCUUGGGCGACUCACGUGCUACAAUGGUUGAGACAAAGAGAUG